rnacentral:rRNA from 1 species
AUUGAACGCUGGCGGCAUGCCUUACACAUGCAAGUCGAACGGCAGCGGGCCCUUCGGGGUGCCGGCGAGUGGCGAACGGGUGAGUAAUGCAUCGGAACGUACCCGGGAGAGGGGGAUAACCGGCCGAAAGGCUGGCUAAUACCGCAUGAACUCGGAAGAGCAAAGCGGGGGACCUUCGGGCCUCGCGCUCUCGGAGCGGCCGAUGUCCGAUUAGGCUAGUUGGUGGGGUAAAGGCCCACCAAGGCGACGAUCGGUAGCGGGUCUGAGAGGACGAUCCGCCACACUGGGACUGAGACACGGCCCAGACUCCUACGGGAGGCAGCAGUGGGGAAUCUUGGACAAUGGGCGCAAGCCUGAUCCAGCAAUGCCGCGUGGGUGAAGAAGGCCUUCGGGUUGUAAAGCCCUUUCGGCGGGGAAGAAAUCGGUCAGGCGAAUAGUCUAGCCGGAUGACGGUACCCGCAGAAGAAGCACCGGCUAACUACGUG